rnacentral:lncRNA from 1 species
AUUCCAUUGAGGGCCCCCUGAGUCAGCACUGUCUACCGGGCGUGGCGCCGACUCUGUCCAGACUCUGUGACCCAAAGUCGACAGCCUGACGGGGAACAAGACACACAAGCUGUGAAGCCAGGUGGGCUCUGGAAACCCAGCUGCUCCCACUCCCCUCCCAGCAACAGCGGGGCCCCCUCCCCGCUGCCCGGGAUCUGCUCUUACCCUGCGGUCCUUCAGGGCGGCUCAGGCAGCACGUUCCCCGUGCUCCUCUCUGAACCCCAAUCUUCCAUUCAACGCCUAUAAACCCCCAAUUUUUUGUCUUAACCCCCAGUUCUUCCUAGUAACACCCAAUUCCUCCUGUUAGGCCAAGGCUCUACCAUCUGACGGCCUGAUUCAAGCCCGAGUCCACAUUCCUGGAAACGUGACCUUGGACACAGCACUUAACCCUCAAAGCCUCGGUUUCCGCCCCGGUGAGACAACUGACAACCUCAGUCUUUGCACGCAAGGCCUGGAGGAGGUGGGGGGACAUGGCCCCCACAAGGCCCCGGCAUGGGGGACGGGCUGAGCGCUCAGGUAAUGUCUGCCCAGGCACUCUGAUGGUGACUGGGGGUCCGAGCCUGACACUGGUCCGAGGCUACAAGAUCUAGCCCAGGGCCAGCGCAGAGGUCUGGAACGGAGCCAUCACACGAGAGCAUGCCCAGGUUUGGGGGAGCCCCCAGAAGGGGGGUAUGCAGGGCAGGUUUCCGAGAAGGGCUUCCCCAUUUGUGCACCUGCCGUCACAUCUCACAAGAUGAGUGACUGCGCUGAACGCCAGGGUGACUAAGACCCACUCCAGCCUGACCAGGAGGGACAGACACACUCAGGACAGACACACUCCAGCUUGGCUACCCAGGCCUGCCCCUACAGCAGAACAAAGGGGGCUCAGGAGCAGACCCUGGUGUGUUUCUGGAGAAUCCCAGGGAAGAGGUGCCAGGAACAGAGGGCAGACAGCCACACUGUGCCUUCCUGGGCUGACCAUCUCUGAGGGCAACUGUCUUAGCUCAAGCCACUGUCACAGACCGCCACGUGGCCAGCCCUCACACAGGCUCUUACUCCUCGCAGUUCGGGAAGCUGGACAUCCAAGACAGAGGUGCCAGCAGCUGCAGGUUCACGGAGGACUGCCUGCUCCUAGAUGCGUCCUUGCAGGCAGCCAGUGCCCUGCCCUGCAAGAGGCCCAGUCGGCCCCGAGGCCCCACCCAGGGGCCCAGGGAGAGGGCAGAGGACCACAUGGUUACACCCGCGGACAGCGUGGCUGGCAGGAAGAUGAGCCAGGGGUCCAGGGCUCAGACCGUCACCCCACGAGAGACAGAGCUUCCGGGGCCCCGUGGAGACAGCCCCUUGGGGUGCCAGGCUGGAAACUACAAAAGCCCCGGCAACCUUUCUCCUAUUUGAUAGCCUCUGGAAGACACAGGAGGGGACAGCAGAGAUGCCGGAGGGACGGACUUGUGAGGCCGGUGAAUCUCAGACAAGCCCACACCUCCAGGCACAGGCCGAGGGCCAGCAGUGUGGUCAUGGGUGUGGGGGCCACCCAGCUGGUCGGGCUGUGGUGUCCAGCUGCCCCAUCCAGCCUCCUCGGGGACACUACCUCAGGACAGACUCGCCCUGGCAGCAUCACUUGGUUCCGAGGUGCACAGCCUGUAGGACCAGCCGGGUCUCUGGCCGGAGCCCCACCUCUCAGCUCUCACGUGCUUGCGGCGUGCGAAAGAAAUGCACAGAUUUUAACGGGAGCCCAAACUAAAUGCCCUCAGGAAAAGGAAAACUAGGGCAAAAACACGGGCAUGUUCGAAAGGCAGAAGCGAAAGUGGAUUCGGACCCCAGCCCAUCAGGUCGGCUUUGCCACGCGGCCCCGCCCCUUUCCGUGACUCUGACUUUCUAAGAAUGAAACCCGGCAGAUCCGAGCUCUGGGCUCGGCCGGGAGGGAAGGGACAGGGUCUGUUCAGAUCCCCUCCCGGAAGAUGAGAACUCAGCUGCCCUUGUCUGUUGGCUUUCUUGGGGGCCGUUCCUUAGUCCCUGGGGCGGGGG